GUGGGGGUGGAGCUGGAGGCCCUUGUGGAGACUACAAUAUUGGAAGGAGCUGAGUUGGGUAGUGUGGUAGCACAUGCACAUUCCGUGUUGUGAGAGGUAGUGGUUGACGAUGGCAAGGGAGCAGUCAAAGAAAAUGGGGUGAUAGCAUUGGUUGAGGGAGAAGCGAAUAGAGGGGACAGGAGCGGCAUCCUAGAGAAAUCCAAUGGAGUGGAAGCUGAGGUUGAUGGGCAUGGAGGUGGAGGAGAGAGAUCAUGCUUAUGCUUAUGGCCA
rnacentral:lncRNA from 1 species